UCCGUAGGUGGAUAAUUAAGUCAGGGGUGAAAGUCUGCAGCUCAACUGUAGAAUUGCCUUUGAUACUGGUUAUCUUGAAUUAUUAUGAAGUAGUUAGAAUAUGUAGUGUAGCGGUGAAAUGCAUAGAUAUUACAUAGAAUACCAAUUGCGAAGGCAGAUUACUAAUAAUGUACUGACACUGAGGGACGAAAGCGUGGGGAGCGAACAGGAUUAGAUACCCUGGUAGUCC
rnacentral:rRNA from 1 species